UACAGAGGGUGCGAGCGUUGUUCGGAAUUAUUGGGCGUAAAGGGCGCGUAGGCGGUGCGGUAAGUCACCUGUGAAAUCUCCUGGCUCAACUGGGAGCUUGCAGGCGAAACUGCCGUGCUGGAGUGUGGGAGAGGUGCGUGGAAUUCCUGGUGUAGCGGUGAAAUGCGUAGAUAUCAGGAGGAACACCUGCGGCGAAAGCGGCGCACUGGACCACAACUGACGCUGAGGCGCGAAAGCUAGGGGAGCAAACAGG
rnacentral:rRNA from 1 species